rnacentral:ncRNA from 1 species
GCCGAGCGAGGAUAGAGGAAGUCGGGGCAACCCGGCUGGGCGUGAAAUUCAGC